CAUGGGUUAGUCGAUCCUA
rnacentral:snRNA from 1 species